rnacentral:rRNA from 1 species
AUUGAACGCUGGCGGCAGGCCUAACACAUGCGGGUCGAACGGUAACAGGAAGCAGCUUGCUGCUUUGCUGACGAGUGGCGGACGGGUGAGUAAUGUCUGGGAAACUGCCCGAUGGAGGGGGAUAACUACUGGAAACGGUAGCUAAUACCGCAUAACGUCGCAAGACCAAAGAGGGGGACCUUAGGGCCUCUUGCCAUCGGAUGUGCCCAGAUGGGAUUAGCUAGUAGGUGGGGUAACGGCUCACCUAGGCGACGAUCCCUAGCUGGUCUGAGAGGAUGACCAGCCACACUGGAACUGAGACACGGUCCAGACUCCUACGGGAGGCAGCAGUGGGGAAUAUUGCACAAUGGGCGCAAGCCUGAUGCAGCCAUGCCGCGUGUAUGAAGAAGGCCUUCGGGUUGUAAAGUACUUUCAGCGGGGAGGAAGGGAGUAAAGUUAAUACCUUUGCUCAUUGACGUUACCCGCAGAAGAAGCACCGGCUAACUCCGUG